CAUUCGGUUUAUGGAAUCUCACAGACCUCUAUCGUUACCUGUGUGCGUUUUUCUCUAUGUGUAUCAUACUUCAGUGAAAAAUACAGUGAAGAAUGCAACAGGCGGGGCGGACAGUACCGAAGAGAUGGCCAUUUUUCAAUGGGAAGAGCAGCCCACAAGCCCCAGUGCUCAAUCCCUGUGUUCCCUGAUGGGCCAUAUCCUGCAGACUGUUUCCAAAUUUUAAUGAGUGUGGACGCAUUUCGGUGUUAUGGGGAUCCUCUCCUGCUUCCAUGGCCCACGCUAUUGUUAGGACAUCAAAGACCAACUGCUGGCUAAGAUACAGUCCAUAUGAAAAGAAUGACCAGCAAAUUUACUGCUUGAAUUCAUUCCCUUUAAAAGGAACUGGCCCCGUGGUCCUCUUUCAAAGCUCAAUUGUGGACAUAUAUCUUCUUUAUAGGACACUGUGUACAAUAAAGAGAAGCAAUAACUUAAAAUUUUAGAAAAAGAAUACCUUUGAGAGCCCCGUGAGAUGAACAUUCCAUCACUGUGGUUACGUGUGCCCAAAUACUCCUCUAAAAGUCUAGCCAUGGGUCUGACAGCCUUCUAUUCAACGUGGUGACUUUUUUUUUUUUUUUACUAAUUGAGUUAUAUUUUUAUGCUCCAGCCCUUUCCCUAGGCUCUGCAAGGUCUUGGGAAAGUCCUUAAUGAGGGGUGAUCAACUUUGAACCAGAGGGCCACCUCACCAAAAUCAGGCAAAAUGGCAAAGUCCAUAUCCCAUUACUCAUUAACUUAUUUGAAGUUGCCCUUUGUGGAGUACACAUUUGUUUAAGGACUGAGACCAGAAUAAGCCUGGGUCGGUUCUGUGCAGUCCUCCAGGACCCACGUGGACAGCAUUCCUUCACACAGCCCUAAGUGUGGAAAUCCCAGGGAGUUAAUAGCAUCUGCAGAUACUAGAACUGAGUGAGAAAAGAACAGAGUUGUUCUUAUGACUAGGAGAACCUUUCUAAGAGGGAAAUCAGUUCUCCAGUAUGCAAGUAAAAUUACUUAGAACAUACAGGAUGUCUUUGGCGUUACUUGGGGUCUGACUCCAGUGGUGGAGGAAGAGGCUUCUGCAGUCACAAUUGCCAGCUCGCUCGAAACCAAACAAUCCAGAACAAUCCUUUCAAUCUGCGAUCACUUAUUACAGCAGUGAAACUUUCCAGAAGGGAUAACACAUUUUCAGGAAUGGCCAAGUGCCCCUGGCUUGAGGCUUCCACUUCUGUUUAAUGCAUUACUCUUGAAAAGGUUCAGCAGGCCACACUUGGCUGGAAAAAGGCUAACUCCUGAGUAGGUCCUUUCUCUCUGCUCUGCUCACUGGCAUCCUUCAGGAAGACACACUGACCGUGUGAAACUGUUGCAGUUUUCCCAGGGAGAUUUUGAGGCAAAACAAUUCACAAGACACCUAUGAAAUGAGGUAAAUCUCACCUGAAAUAAGAAUAAACAUCAGAGGGAAGGAACUGGAAAUAUUUGGAAAGGCCAUGGCAUCCCUAAGGAGAGUGACUCUAACUGUUGAGCCGCAGGUGGAAAUAAUGAGAGCCGGGCUUUUCAGAAGGCACCUGUGACCUUUCUGUUCCAAGUUCUUGCCACUGGCCUUGUCACCCUGAAGUACAGUCCAGUGUGGUGUCCGUGGCCCACCGUCCCUCUCCCACUGCUUUUUCUCCAAGGCCUGGACCCAUGCAAAGCUCUGGGAUAACCCAAAAAUGAACAUCAGUGUCCUUGGCCCUAAUGUGUUCAUAAAUGGGGAAAGGAGGGAAGAAGAAAAGGGAAGAGGGCCUGACUAGAUCCAGAGAACUCAAGUACAGAAAGAUAUGGCCCCAAAUAAGCCAAGAACUGUGCGUCGUGGAGCCAAGAAGAGCACCGUUCCCACCUUCCUAAAGUGAACGAAGGACAGGGAUGCAAACACAGGGAAAACUAAGAGACAGAAUCACAGCUUUAAAGAGCUACCCUCUAAUCAAGGAGCCUGCAGCUCUUCUCUGGGUCUCUGAAUGCUUGUUGCUCCAAGAUAGCUCAAGCCAUUAACUCAAUUUGCUUUACUUUGAAGGCUCCUGUAUGUGUCUACUACUCUCGGGGUUGGGGUUCUUCCUGCCACUUAGGUUACAGUGGAACUGGAAGUGCCAUGGAAAUUUGCCAGAGAUGGAGCUUGCCCAAGUGACCAGGGCUGUCUGUUGGCCACAUAGACUCCCUUUAAAAGAAAAACUCAGCACCCACAAAAUCCCAAGUGUUCAGCCUGGAGCAACAUCAGGGAGCCAUCUGUGGACUCCCCUUGAGAUUCAAGGAAAGGUGGAUGCUGGCAGGAGAAUUGCUCUGGCUAUGCCCCCAGAACGUUCUGUGUCUUGGUUCUGACAAUCUAAGCGAAGUGCUUUUUGUGCUGCAAGAUCCAUGGGCAAAUGACUGGUGCUUGCAUAUGCACCCAAUGUAGGCAAGGUCCCUGCCCUUCUUCCAAGCUCUGUGCCACACACCACACACACACGCACACACUCCCCAACCAAGAUGAGGCAAUCUACUUAGAAGGUGGGUCACAGGCUUUCACCAAACCCUAGAAUUUUGUUGUUGGCAAGACACCUGGAAAACUGAGUCCCAACUUCUCAUUUCUUGCAUGAGGAAUCCCAAACCCAGAGAAAUGAAAGAACUCCCUCAAGACCAGACUGCUCAUUCUAGGUUGGCUGACUCCCAAGCCAGUCCUCUUUUGUGAAGCCACACAGCCUCCCAUUCCUGGACAUCCUUAACAUGGUUUUGUUUUACUGGAGAGAAUUGGAGCAAAUACACAUCUAAAAUGCCCAGGCUCUGAUAGUACAGUUACUUUUAGGUUGUUAUGAGAACUGAAAGGAAAUUAAAUAACCAUGAAUUACGGGUGUUUUAUUUCAGAGACCAGGUUGCAGUCAGGUAAAGGACAUGAUGUACAUAUAAGUAUAGAGCAUGGCCCAACUAUAUAGUAAGCAUUCCAUGGUCCCAUUCAUUUAUUUAACACUUACACAUUCAUUUAUUUUAACACUUAAAUAUUGCGUAUUAUGUGCAGGCACUGUGCUAGAUGCUGGAGAUUCAAUAGAGUACAAGCUUCUGCUCUGGAAAGGGACAUUGCAAAUAAUUAAUUCAUAAGUAAAGUAAUUAUUAUGGAUUAUAAUGGACAUGGACAGGAAGCAAAGAUAGGGAAUACCUGGGAAUACCUACUAAAAGGGUAUGGCCAGGGAAGGACGUGUCAGAAAAGUGGCACUGAAGACUGGACCUGAAGAAUAAGACAGGGCCAUCUUUGCAAAAACUAGUUGGAGAGAGCCAUUCAGACAAAGGUAAUCAUGAGCACCAAAACUUUGAGGUGGGAAACUUUGGCUUGACUAAGGGAUAGAAAAGAGACUGGAGAAAAGGAGUGAGUAUAAUGGAGAAAGUGGUUUGAGAACUUGCACAAGAGGGUGGAGUCUUCUAGGUCAUGAUAAAGGGUGUAGCUGUUCUUCUGAGAUUAGCAAGGAAGGAACCGUUAAAGAGAUUUUGGAUGAUGGCUCUGUCUGGUUUGUGGAGAAUGGUCUGGAGGGGUGCAAACAUGUUAGGAGGUUCUAUAAUAAAAUAAUCCAGCAGGAGAAGAAGAAACAUAGACCAGAGUUGGGAGGAGUGGAUGGAUGCAAGACACCAUGUAGACACAGAGCCAAUAGGACGGGCUGAUGGAUCAUAUUUCAGAGUGGAAAAAUUGACAACUUCCAGUUUUAUGCGCAGGGGAGGCAUACAUAUCAGUGGAUCUAUAUUGGACAUAUGGAAUUUGAGAUGCCUAUGGGACAUCCAAGUGAAGAUUUUGAACAGGGAAAUGGUUAAAUGCACUGGGAACUGAGACUAAGAUGUCAUGACCAAAGUGGUAGAAGGAGAACCAAGAGUUAUGUCAUGGACACCAAGGGAGGAGACUACCGUAAGGCAAGAGUCCUUUUGAAUGUUACUGUGAGAGCAAAGAAGAUGAAGACAGAGAAGUGCCCAUUCAACUGGGCAGCAUGGCCAUUGCUGAAAAUCUUGAUGAGAGCAGUUUAAGAGGCAUUAUGGGAACAGAUGACAACCUCUACUGGGUGAAGUAACAAACAGAAGGUGAAGAAGUAAGUCUUAGAGAAGCUUUGAUAUGAAGGGGAAACAUGUGGACAAGGGGUUGAGGGCGAGUAUUUGGUUCAUUUGUUUUGAGAUCAGAGGUACCAUGGUGUCACUGAUGCUGAGACCAAGCCAAUAGAAAGGAGAAAAUUAACAAUCACAGAUUGAGAGGGGAGAGCUGAGAGGCAAAUUGAUCAAGAAAGCAAGAAUACAUGUGUGGAAAUAGGCCUUUGAUAGAACUAUUCCAUGCAAUAGUUGAGAAGAAGGAGGAGCUAUGCAGAUGGGAGUGUAGAUCUAGUGUGAGAAUAACUGUCAUGAAGAAUUAACCAUGGAUGGCUCCUCUCCUUCAAUGCAAUAUGCAGUGAGAACAAUGAGGAAGAGUAGGGGGAUUUGGACGGAGCAGAUAUGAAAUAAUCAUCUUGGAUGCCAGAGAAGACAAG